rnacentral:lncRNA from 1 species
UGUUGGCCCAGACAAGCCUAUCUCAUUUGAUAAUGGGCUCUGAUUCCAGUGGAUUAUUGUAGGGAUUUUAUCUUGCAGUAAUCUCCAGGGAGAAAUGUACAAACAGCUGGGAGGACAAGAAGGAGCUUCAUUGUGUGGCUGGAAUUCCUUGAAACAGAAUUUUGGAGCUGCUCUGCAAAGCAAAAUGAAUCUUUUCUGUUUUUCACUGGAAGGUUCCAUGGACAGCUUAUAUGAGCCAGUCCAAGAGCAUCAAGAGUCCAAGGACACUAUGAGCAUUGACAGCAGGUCUAGCACUCCACUGACUACUUAUGUGAAAUGGGGCCCACCAGACAGAUCCAUGUCUUUGGUCGUCUUCAAGAGACUAAACACCCAAGAAAUUAAAAU